rnacentral:rRNA from 1 species
GACGAACGCUGGCGGCGUGCUUAACACAUGCAAGUCGAACGGAAAGGCCCUGCUUUUGUGGGGUGCUCGAGUGGCGAACGGGUGAGUAACACGUGAGUAACCUGCCCUUGACUUUGGGAUAACUUCAGGAAACUGGGGCUAAUACCGGAUAGGAGCUCCUGCUGCAUGGUGGGGGUUGGAAAGUUUCGGCGGUUGGGGAUGGACUCGCGGCUUAUCAGCUUGUUGGUGGGGUAGUGGCUUACCAAGGCUUUGACGGGUAGCCGGCCUGAGAGGGUGACCGGCCACAAUGGGACUGAGAUACGGACCAGACUGCAACGGGAGGCAGCAGUGGGGAAUAUUGCAAAAUGGGCGGAAGCCUGAUGCAGCAACGCAGCGUGCGGGAUGACGGCCUUCGGGUUGUAAACCGCUUUCGCCUGUGACGAAGCGUGAGUGACGGUAAUGGGUAAAGAAGCACCGGCUAACUACGUG